rnacentral:rRNA from 1 species
CCUACGGGGGGCAGCAGUGGGGAAUAUUGCACAAUGGGGGAAACCCUGAUGCAGCGACGCCGCGUGAGUGAAGAAGUAUUUCGGUAUGUAAAGCUCUGUCAGCAGGGAAGAAAAUGACGGUACCUGACCAAUAAUCCCUUUCUAACUACAUUCCAUCAUCCGCUUUAAUACUUAGUGGUCAAGCGUGAUCCGGAUUUACUUGGUUUAAAGGUAUCGUAGACGUAAGUGCAAGUCUGGAGUGAAAGGCGGGGGCGCAACCCCCGGACUGAUCGGGAAACGGCCAGGCUGGAGUUCAGGAGAGGGAAGGGGAAGGCCGAGGGGAGCGGGGAAAUGCGUAGAUAGGAGGCGGAACACAAGUGGCGAAGGAGGCUGACUGGACGGGAACGGACGUUGAGGCUCGAAAGCGUGGGGAGCAAACAGGAUUAGAUACCCGGGGAGGC